AGAGUUUGAUCCUGGCUCAGAAUGAACGCUGGCGGCGUGCCUUACACAUGCAAGUCGGAUGUGUCGCAAGACACAUGGCAGACGGGUGAGUAACACGUGGGAAACUUACCUCUUAGUGGGGAAUAACGCUCCGAAAGGAGCGUAAUACCGCAUGAGACCUAUCGCUGGGAUGCGAUAGAUGAAAGCUGGGGAUCGUAAGACCUAGCGCUGAGAGAGAGUCCUGCGUCUGAUUAGUUAGUUGGUGAGGUAACGGCUCACCAAGACUUCGAUCAGUAGCCGGCCUGAGAGGGCGAUCGGCCACACUGGAACUGAGACACGGUCCAGACUCCUACGGGAGGCAGCAGUGGGGAAUCUUGCGCAAUGGGCGAAAGCCUGACGCAACUACGCCGCG
rnacentral:rRNA from 1 species